CAGCAUUAUUCAUCUUUCAGGUGCAGACUAACACAAAUACACAAACAAAUGAUUGCUGCAAUUGGAGAAUAACAUAGUCCAUCAAGUGAUCUUCUGAACUACUGUAGUUUAUUAACUUGAUCCCAUCUAGGCAAGAAUUCAAGGAAUUAAGGCAAAAAAGUAUACAAAUUCCUUGGUUCUUUUACUUUACCCCACAUUAUUAGCAUAAAUAUUCAGAAGGGGAAACUGUUUAUCCAAACACAUCUCACCAAUAAUGCAGCUCAGCUCUCUAACCUUUCAACUUUUUCAAUUGUCUUCCACAACCCUUAAACUCAGCUAAAACCACUCCAAAGAAAAGCAAACCUCAAAAA